GAUGAACGCUGGCGGCGUGCUUAACACAUGCAAGUCGAACGAAGCAUUUAGAACAGAUUACUUCGGUUUGAAGUUCUUUAUGACUGAGUGGCGGACGGGUGAGUAACGCGUGGGUAACCUGCCUUGUACUGGGGGAUAGCAGCUGGAAACGGCUGGUAAUACCGCAUAAGCGCACAAUGUUGCAUGACAUGGUGUGAAAAACUCCGGUGGUAUAAGAUGGACCCGCGUCUGAUUAGCUAGUUGGUGAGAUAACAGCCCGCCAAGGCGAUGAUCAGUAGCCGACCUGAGAGGGUGACCGGCCACAGUGGGACUGAGACACGGCCCAGACUCCUACGGGAGGCAGCAGUGGGGAAUAUUGCACAAUGGAGGAAACUCUGAUGCAGCGACGCCGCGUGAGUGAAGAAGUAAUUCGUUAUGUAAAGCUCUAUCAGCAGGGAAGAUAGUGACGGUACCUGACUAAGAAGCUCCGGCUAAAUACGUGCCAGCAGCCGCCGUAAAAC
rnacentral:rRNA from 1 species